CUUGGUCAUUUAGAGGAAGUAAAAGUCGUAACAAGGUUUCCGUAGGUGAACCUGCGGAAGGAUCAUUAUUGAAUAAACUUGAACAGGCUGUUGCUGAUCUCUAGGGAUAUGUGCACGCUUGUCAUCUUUGUUUUUUCCAACUGUGCACAUAUUGUAGACUCUGAAAUAUAUCUUUAUUUCACGUAGAUUUGGGACUGCUUCAUGGCUUUGCCCUGCAUUUUUCAGAGUCUAUGUCAUUUUUUCACAACCUCUGUAUGAAUUUGGAACAAAAAAUAAAGUUGAAAUAUCUAAAUACAACUUUCAGCAACGGAUCUCUUGGCUCUCGCAUCGAUGAAGAACGCAGCGAAAUGCGAUAAGUAAUGUGAAUUGCAGAAUUCAGUGAAUCAUCGAAUCUUUGAACGCAUCUUGCGCUCCUUGGUAUUCUGAGGAGCAUGCCUGUUUGAGUGUCAUAAAGUUCUCAACCACAUUGGUUCUCUGGUGUGGCUUGGAAGUGGGGGAAUCUUUGCUGGCCUUGGAAACAAAGUCUGCUCCCCUGAAAUGUAUUAGUGGUAUAGGCUUUUUACUACUACAGACGGUGAUAAUUUAUCUACGUCUUGUGUACGAGUGCCAGAACUGCUUCUAAACAAACAAAAUAUAUGAUAAUUUGACCUCAAAUCAGGUAGGACUACCCGCUGAACUUAAGCAUAUCAAUAAGCGGAGGGAAAGAAACUAACAAGGAUUCCCCUAGUAACUGCGAGUGAAGCGGGAAAAGCUCAAAUUUAAAAUCUGGUGGUCUUUGAUCAUCCGAGUUGUAAUCUAGAGAAGUGUUACCUGUGCUGGACCGUGUACAAGUCUCCUGGAAUGGAGCAUCAUAGAGGGUGAGAAUCCCGUCUUUGACAUGGACUACCAGUGCGUUGUGGUAUGCUCUCAAAGAGUCGAGUUGUUUGGGAAUGCAGCUCAAAAUGGGUGGUAAAUGCCAUCUAAAGCUAAAUAUUGGCGAGAGACCGAUAGCGAACAAGUACCGUGAGGGAAAGAUGAAAAGAACUUUGGAAAGAGAGUUAAACAGUACGUGAAAUUGCUGAAAGGGAAACGCUUGAAGU
rnacentral:rRNA from 1 species